AGGGAAUCUUCCACAAUGGACGCAAGUCUGAUGGAGCAACGCCGCGUGAGUGAAGAAGGUUUUCGGACCGUAAAGCUCUGUUGUUGGUGAAGAAGGAUAGAGGUAGUAACUGGCCUUUAUUUGACGGUAAUCAACCAGAAAGUCACGGCUAACUACGUGCCAGCAGCCGCGGUAAUACGUAGGUGGCAAGCGUUGUCCGGAUUUAUUGGGCGUAAAGCGAGCGCAGGCGGAAGAAUAAGUCUGAUGUGAAAGCCCUCGGCUUAACCGAGGAAUUGCAUCGGAAACUGUUUUU
rnacentral:rRNA from 1 species